rnacentral:tRNA from 3 species
GCCCUCGUAGCUCAAUGGUAGAGCGUUGACUUUGAAAGCCAAGGGUUGGUGGUUCGAUCCCGUCCGGGACA